AGAUACGGAUUCUUAACGUCGCAAGACGAAAAAUGAAUACCAAGUCUCAAGAGUGAACACGUAAUUCAUUACGAAGUUUAAUUCUUUGAGCGUCAAACUUUUAAAUUGAAGAGUUUGAUCAUGGCUCAGAUUGAACGCUGGCGGCAGGCCUAACACAUGCAAGUCGAACGGUAACAGGAAGAAGCUUGCUUCUUUGCUGACGAGUGGCGGACGGGUGAGUAAUGUCUGGGAAACUGCCUGAUGGAGGGGGAUAACUACUGGAAACGGUAGCUAAUACCGCAUAACGUCGCAAAACCAAAGAGGGGGACCUUCGGGCCUCUUGCCAUCGGAUGUGCCCAGAUGGGAUUAGCUAGUAGGUGGGGUAACGGCUCACCUAGGCGACGAUCCCUAGCUGGUCUGAGAGG
rnacentral:rRNA from 1 species